CAUAGGUUAAUGAGGCGAACCGGGGGAACUGAAACAUCUAAGUACCCCGAGGAAAAGAAAUCAACCGAGAUUCCCCCAGUAGCGGCGAGCGAACGGGGAGCAGCCCAGAGCCUGAAUCAGUGUGUGUGUUAGUGGAAGCGUCUGGAAAGGCGCGCGAUACAGGGUGACAGCCCCGUACACAAAAAUGCACAUGCUGUGAGCUCGAUGAGUAGGGCGGGACACGUGG
rnacentral:rRNA from 1 species